rnacentral:rRNA from 1 species
UACAGAGGGUGCAAGCGUUAAUCGGAGUUACUGGGCGUAAAGGGCGCGUAGGCGGUUUUUUAAGUUUUGUGUGAAAUCCCUGGGCUUAACCUAGGAACUGCACAAGAUACUGGAAGACUGGAGUACUGUAGAGGGUAGUGGAAUUUCCGGUGUAGCGGUGAAAUGCGUAGAGAUCGGAAGGAACACCAGUGGCGAAGGCGGCUACCUGGACAGAUACUGACGCUGAGGCGCGAGAGCGUGGGGAGCAAACAGG